rnacentral:lncRNA from 1 species
CCACCCAUCUCCAUGGCUGGGUUUCAAAAUUGACCUUCCUAUUUUUUUUCUCGAGAGAAGCAAGUCAACUUUAUAGCUCGAAAUUUAUACAGAAUUUUCGGCUGAAAGAGAAGUAAAAUCAAGGAAUUACGAUGACGAGCUUAAAGAAAAAAUUAAGUAUGACAGGAAGUUUGCAACAUCGCAAACGGAAAGUUUUGCACUUCGGCCAUUGGCCCUCCAUAAUAGUCCCGAACUCUUGACGAGGCCACUUAUCAAACAAAAUUUUCCUUCAAACUGAGCUGAUACAACUUGUUGUACUUUUGCAUAGCAGCGCACUCUAUACGACAAAACACUGAACCGAAGUCGCCGGCAGCGCACGCUCAUCCAAUGCUCAAUCUCUCAUCUUUCACGCCACCCGGUUAUUCGUUAUCGUUAUCGGUCAACGUCUCAGGGUAGAUUUGUUUUGGUGCGGUCGUGCAGUCAAUUUCCGACUUGUUAUUUUCGCUUUCAGAAAAGCAGCAGAAGUUUACUCAAACUGUCAAAUUUUGAGGUUUCAGUCUAAGUUGUUGCUUUAUUCAGUUCCUCCUGUCAUCAAUUCACGCGUCUACGAUGGGUGGAUUCGACGAAGUGGAGUCAUACCCUGUUUUACCCUCCAAAACGUUGAAGGAGUGUGCAAAUUUGAGGCAUGCGAUGUCGGAAUGGUGAUGGAUCUACCUGAAGGCCCUUUGAGUGAAGAAAGGAAAAAGGCUACUUUGACUGGAAAUUAAUGCGCUUGAAUGUGGAAGAACCCUCUUACCUAAGAGUAAAAGUUAGUUCAAUGCAUUACACUCUACUUCUCAUCUAGAUCAUUCAAAUGAAUUUAAUACUUUUUAAAUAUUUUCUUAUUUGUCGGGACUGCUAUGCUACUGUUCAUAUUUUGACGGUUCUUCUUAUGGUCAAUUAAGUUGGCACUCUCCUGUUUUUAUUAUACUGCGUUUAUUCACACUGGAUUUUCAAAAACUUAGCAGUUAAGUCAUUCUCUCCAAAAGCUUCUUCAGGUUUGAAAUAUUGAGCUAUUGUAUUGAAUAUUGUUGCUUUUCACUGAAGUAGUCCAUUUUUAAAAAGGAUUCUUAAUUCUUUUUCUUUCUUUAUUUUCUAAAUGUGAAUAGUACUUUUGUGUUUUGACGUGGGAUUGACACCCUCUCCCAAUUCAAAGGGGGUGUCAGGCCAGUCUUGUCCAAUUCAAAAUGGGAGUUGAGGGGUUGUCCGUCAGGGGAGUAGUCUAAUCGACAAAAAUACU